GGGGGAGAGAGGAUAAAAUUAAAAAAGGAGAGAUGAUAUGUAAAGGAAAGAGAAAAGGCUGUGGCUAGCCAUUGGUGAAAGAUGAAUGUGUUGUUUCUUGUUAGGAACAAUUGCAGUGGUAGUUGGGCUUUGGUGGGUAUUUUUUAAGGGGAGUGAAAAUGCAUCAAUUGGACAAGAUUUUUCAUAAAUAAAUGGUGGGGCUACCAAGUCCAAAAAGCGCAUAAAAUGCAUUUUUCUAAAAAAAAUGCGAUCCAAACAUGGCCUUUGUGAC
rnacentral:lncRNA from 1 species